AGGCUGCCGGUAGCAGCUGGUUCGCCCCGUCCGCCAGGCGGGAUGCGUCGCAAGAGGGAACCCGGUGGGAAUCCGGGACUGCCCCGCAGCGGUGAGCGGGAACGACCGCCGUCAUACGCACUGGGUCCGACGUACCGGACCUGGGAAGCGACGGCCAGUAGGUGUCUCGUCCGACGAGACGCGCCCGCGAGUCCGAAGACCUGCCAACUGCCCGCGUGCGGA
rnacentral:ncRNA from 2 species